UCCGCGAGAACCGGGCGGACCGCCUCGAUA
rnacentral:sRNA from 1 species